AAGGAAUUCUACAAAGGGAAGUCAAUGGUGGAGCUCUUUGGAGGAGAGCUGUCAAGCCUUGAUAAGUACUUUAUGUAAAUAAAGAAUUCAUAACAUAUGCAUAAUCGAAACAUCAAACAGGUUGAGGGACUCAGGAUGAGCAUCAACCUUCUGCAAAGAGGCCACUAUACACUUAGCUGACCUUCAUGUUGUCUGGUUUCACACUGCACCUAUCAAUCAGCACAGUCAACCUCCACUUAGGAACAGGAAGACCCGAGAAGAGGGAGAGAGAUGGGGAACAGCCAAUCCAUGGAGCAGUCAGAAUAUAAGCAACAACUAUCAUAAUAUUGCCAUCUUAUAUGGAAAUAUGGCACAAACCUGUUAUCCCCAGGUGAGAAGACAGGAGAAUUCGGUGCGAUCACAUGUUGAGGAAACUGAGGCAGAUGAGAACAAUUCUACUGCCUCUGAAAGCAGCCCAAGCAAGUGCUCUGGAGCACUUAGAACUUGGUCAGACACUGAAGAUCUCAAGGUCAUUCACUGCAUCCUGGACCAUUAAUAGUCAUCUUAACAACAUCUUAACAUUUGUCCUGCCACUGGACUUCAAGGACUGUAGAAGAGAAAGCAAGGCUGACAACUUUGUGCUGCUCUGCCUCACUUAAAUGCAACUCCUAUGCAAGUCAAGACAUCAACCUUGCCAUGUCACCAGUCAUCUUUGAAAACAAAGGAAAAACAACAACUACAACCUGCCCAGGGCCACACAACUAUUAAGGAUCUGAGGUCAUAUUUGUUUUUUGGUUUUUUGUUUUCAUUUUUAUGAGGUUAUAUUUGAACUGAGGGCUUCUUAUCUUCAACCAGUGCUCUUCUUCACCAGCCUACCUAUGCUUCAGGACUAAAUAACCCAAAGGUUCCUUUCAACUCUAAAUCUCUGAACCCUCUCAUUUUGCCAAAAGAAAAAAUGGCACCCAAGGGCCUUACCUGACGUGCCUAUGGUCAUGUAGUUGCAGAACCCAGUUCCUCUGACUCUACAGUCCAGCACUCUAUUCAUGUCACCGUGCUGCCUCUUUAGAUCUCAUCUAACUCAAUCCAGAACUUCUGCAUUCCUCACAAUUGGUUAUCCAAAAGACCUCCAGGGAAUGCAGCAGAUAGCCUUAUACCUGGAAUCAGGAAAACCUGACUUCAAAACCUGUUGGCAGAUGCUUCACAAGUGAGUGACCCAGGGUAAGUGAAUUAACCUGUCAGCCUCUGUUUCCUCAUCUGUAAAAUUAAGACAUAGCACAUACCUCAAUGUAUUAUUGUGAGGAUUAAGUAAGAUAAUAUAUAUAAAAUGCUUGCAAAUCUUAAGUGCUAUCUAUAUAAGAGUACUAAAAAGAAAGCUGUGGCUCAAUGGUUAAGACCAUUGGGCCAGGAACUGGGAAUACCUUAGUUCAAAUCUGACCUCAGACGUUGCCUAGCUGUGUGACCUUGACAAGUAACAACCUCUGUUAACCUGACAAAAGGAUUCACUGGAUCCACUGGAGAAGGAAAUGACAAACCACUUUAGUAUCUUUGCCCAAGAAAACCCCAUAAUAGCUCUGGUCUAAGAGAUGAACAUAAGUGAUCAACAACAAGCACAAGUUAUAAUAUUUCUUUUUUUUCUUAUUGGUGAUGUUUUUAAGUGUUGCUACUGUUUUCCAAGGACUCCACUCCAACAACAAAAACUUCCUUUUAUCAGAGAAGUACAAUUAAGCAAAACAAAUCAACACACUUGACGUGUCUAGCAACAUAUGACUCAUUCUGUACCUGUGGUCCAUCACUUCUCUACCAAAAAGAGGAAGGCAUGCUUCGUCUUUAGUACUUUGAAUCCAUGACUUGACCCAAUAUUGAUGAAAGUUUUAAUGUUCCAGUGUUGUUUUUCUUUGUUAUUGUGAUCUCAAGAUUUAUUAAGGAAUUGACUAUCCUUCUAUGUGCCCCUUUCCAAAUACCUUCCUUAAAGAUGAUGUCCAGAGUCUGGACCAUGAGUGAUGUCUACUAAAGCAGCUACUUAAAUGACCGAACAAGAGAGUUUUGCUUCCUCAACUCUGCGAAGUAAAUGCUUCUAAUAUCUUGUCCCUUUUCUUAGAUGAGGAACUGAGACUGGGCAUGGUUGAAUCAUUUGCCAUGAUCAAAUAGUUCUCCAGAAUUUACUAGACUAGAAAAACGGGUCUGAGAAGAUAAACCAAAUCCAGUUGGGUUAAAGCAAUCAAAAUAUCAAGGGAAAAUCACUAAGAUAUAUCCAGUAGCAAGUGACCAAAGAGAAAAAUGGAGCCCAGAGCCAUCUCUUCUAUGGUCAACAAGAAUUGGGCUUAUGGUUUUGUCCUAGUAUUUUAAAAAUGCAACAUGCCUUUUAUCAUGUUUAUUUGUGCACCUGUCACAGAAUGCCUCUUCCUCUGUUAGAUCAGAAGCUUCUUGAAGGCAGGACUGUGUUCUUUCUUGCCUUUGUAACACUGUCUUCCAGGGAGUAGGAUUAUAUUUUUAGAACUGGAAAGGUUCUUAGGGUUCAUCUCAUACAAAUCACUAAAGUGGCUAAGAGAUUUGUCUAGAGUCAAAAAGCUAGUAAAUAAAUGUUCUAUCUGUGAUCCACACCCACGCCCUCCAACUCCUGAUUCAAGGUUCUGAGGUGCUUAAUGAAUGUUUAUUGACUUGAAUUUAUAAUAUGCAAAUGAUAAAGUAAGAGAAAGAAUUCAUUUUAAAAUUUUUGAUCUUUACCAUGAAUUUUCCCAUCUACAUAACAGUAAACGUUUUCUGAAUUCUGUUAUAAAAAUCCAUGAAGGGCACUUAAUAGGUUUCAGCAUUCAUUAGGGAAGAUUCAGAAGUGCCUUUGAUGGUUGUGUCCAGCUUGGAUCCAAUAAAUAUUACAUUCUCUAGACAUCCAUCAAUUCCCUUCAAACCACUUACAAAAGAUGUUUUUAAACUGCUAAUAAUUCUCAAGUGACCCUUAAUAUGACAAUCUUUUUGACUCUAUGGGAAGAUAAAAUCAAGAGCCUUACAAUGUAAUAUAACAAAUGAAUUUAUAACUGUUUAAUCAGGCAAAAAUGCAGAAUGAACAUUUAUUGAACUAUUUUCAUGUGUCCACCCUAACCCCCCAAAGAGAGAGCUAAUUACAUCGGGCAGUUACAUGAUAUUUCCAGCUCACACAUAUGAGGAUACUUAUGUCCCCAGUGAUUUGCUAUUGAGAUGUAAGUUGGUAAACAAAUAUCUCGCUUCAUCAAGUCAUAUUAGUUAGAUCCAUAGUUUUUCUUCUUCAAGGUAUAAGCGAACCCUUAGCUCAAUGUUGUUUCAGCCCAAAUCAGUCAUUUAAAAAUUAUUAUACUAAUAAACAAAGUUUAGUAAGACAUUAAAAAAGGAGUCACAAUGCUAAAAAAAAACUCAAGUUGUUAGUUUACUAUAAUAAGCUAAGUGUUAGAGAAAAUGAACCACAAAGGCAACCAGGAAAGCAGGUCCUGUCUGUCUACUGUGACCAUAUUGAUUAGCUGUCCUAGACCCAGAAACAUUUAGUCUACAAGUAAAUUGGCUGAUGAUAAUUCUGUCUUUUGAUCAGCAGAAAUUGUAUGCCCAAUGGCACCUUCUGAUACUCUUUUCUUCUUUAUUCUAUGGGUGAAGAAACUGAGGUGCAUCUAGGUUAUAUGACCUUAUCCAAGGUCUCAUAGGUAAUAAAAAUAAGAGGCAAGAUUUGAACUCGAGUCCUCUGACCCCAGAGUUUAUACAGCUAAUUUAAUUUAUAUUUUAAGUAGGACUGGUCUUUGAGGACAAGUAAGUGAUAUAGUGGAUAAAAGGCCAGGCCUGGAGGCAGGAAGACUUCAGUUCAAAUAUGACCUUAGAUACUAGCUGUAUGAUCCUGGUUAAGUCACUUAACCCUGUUUGCCUUAGUUUCUUCAUCUAUAAAAUGAGCUGGAGAAGGAAAUGGCAAACCAUUCCAGUAUCUUUGUCAAAAAAAUCCAAAAUGUGGUCAUUAAGAGUCGGAUAAGACUGAGACAACAGCUGCAAAGCCAUCCUCUUCAAAGGUAGAACCUCUGAAGGGACUUGGGACUCAUGGCAUAAGAACAAACAAUUUGGGAUCUGGUGAAAAUUGGUCCUCAGGAGGAAAUAUGGUUUCUUCUAGUCAGCAUCUGGUUGCUAAUGGAGACCUUUGACCAUAUCCAGCCUCAGCUAUCUUGUCAUGGAAUGAGGAAAGAGAACUCAGUAGUCAGCCACAGCUGGUAUUAUCUCUCUUCAACCUUAAACUCAUCUUUCUAUGUCCUGGCACCUGUUCCAUCCUGUUGCCAUUCCCCAAACAGAGCCUAGGGGUUCUGGGCAGCACGGUGGGAAAGAGGCAAUCAGACUGAGGAAACAUGGACAAAACAUAAAACAUAAAAUAAAAUAGCCCCUUGCCCUCAAGGAGUUUACAUUCUACCAGGCAAUAUGACACAUACACAAGCAAAUAAAUAUACCUAAAUAUUGUAUUCAUUUUGCUCUUUUCUUAGUGAAUGGUAUAAUGGUGGUCUAUACUUUGUUUCUGUCUGACUACUCUCCAGUUGUCCCAGCAAUUUUUUCCAAAUAAUGAUUUCUUAUUCCCAAAACCUUCAGGUUACUAUAAUCUUUUACUACUGUUUGUUGUAUCUCUCUGUCUUGUUCCAUUGAUCUCUCUCUUUCUUAGCCAGGAUCUGGUAGUUUUGAUAAUUCCUGCUUUAUAAUACAAUUUUAAAUCUGCUAAUGCUAGACUUUUUUGGAUUUUUUUCAUUAACUCUUUUAGUAUUCUUGGUCUUUUGUUCUUCUUAAUGAAUUUUGUUUUGGUUUUUUUCCUAGCUCAAGUAAAAUAAGGUGUUGUUUUUUUUUUUGUAAUCUAAUUGGGAUGACAUUGAACAAGUAUAUUAGUUUAGGUAGGAUUAUCAUUUCAAUUAUACUGACUCUGCCUAUCCAUGAACAAUUAAUGUUUCUCCAAUUAUUUAGAUCCAGCUUUAUUUGUGUAAAAAGUGUUUUAUAAUUAUAUUUAUGUAGUUCUUGGGUUUGUUUUAGCCAGUAUAUUUCCAGGUAUUCUAUCUGUGGUUAUUUUAUAUGGAAUAUCUCUAUCUCUUCUUGUAGAACUUUGUUAGUAAUAGAUUAAAAUGUUGAUGAUUUAUUUUGUAUAUUGCUAUUUUGCUAAAAUUAUUGAUAGUUUCAACUAACUUUCUAGUUGACUCUCUAGGAUUUUCCACAUGUACCAUCAUGUCAUCUGCAGAGAUAGUUUUAUUAUCUCUUUGUCCAUUAUGAUAUCCUUUGAUUUAUUUUUCUUCUCUUAUUGUUAUUACUAACAUUUCCAAUACUGUGUUAAAUCAUACUGAUGAUAAUGAGCAUCCUUGUUUCACUCCUGAUCUUAUUGGGAAGGUUUCUAGCUUGUCCCCCAGACUUGCUGAUGGUUUUAGAUAGAUGCUUCAUGUAAUUUUAAGGAAAAAAAAUCCAUUUAUACCUGUCCUUUCCAGUAUUUUUAAUAGGAAUGUGUUCCAUUUUGUCAAAGGUUUAUUCUGCAUCUAUUAUAUGAUCUAUGGUUUUCAUUACUUUUGUUACUAAUAUAAUCAAUUAUGUUGAUAGUUUUCCUUUAUUUAAACCAUCUCUGAAUUCCUGAUAUAAAUCCUGUUUGGUCACAAUGUAUAAUCUGUUAUAUAUUGUUGUAGUCUCCUAAUUAGUAUUUUAUUUAGGAUUUGUGCAUCCAUAUUCAUUAAUUAAAUUUGUCUACAAUUUUCUUUGUUUUUAAAACUCUCCCUGGUUUAGUAUCAUAUUUGUUUCAUAAAAGUAAUUUGAUAAAACUCCUCCUUCAUCUGUUACUUCAAGGAACUUAUUUAAUAUUGGAAUGAGUUGAUCUUUGAAUGUUUGGAAGAAUUCACUGGUAAACUCAUCUGGUCCUAAUGUUUUUUUUUUCCUUAGGAAGUUCAUUUAUAACUGGUUCAAUUUCUUUUUUCUAAAAUAGAUUUAUUUAGAUAUUCUAUUUCCUCCUCUGAGAUUCUAGACAGUUUAUUUUUUGUCAACAUCCUUCUACUUCACUUACUUUGUUCAACUUAUGUGCAUAUAAUUGAGCAAAAUAACUCCUAAUAAUUACUUUAAUUUCAUCUUCAUUGGUACCAUAAUCACUCUUUUCAUCUUAA